CGCACUGCCUUCCGCAGCCGCGUGUCAUGCAUUUGUGCCGCACUUAGCGGACCGCCGCAGCGGCUUUUCUAUAAGCUCACCGCCUCCCGCGGCCGCUGUCUAUAUGCUCCUAAAUCAACGCCUUCAAUUCGGCGUGCCGCCGCGGCGGGCUUCCUAAGCGCACUGCCUUCCGCAGCCGCGUGUCAUGCAUUUGUGCCGCACAUAGCGGACCGCCGCAGCGGCUUUUCUACAAGCACACCGCCUCCCGCGGCCGCUGUCUAUAUGCUCCUAAAUCAACGCCUUCGAUUCGGCGUGCCGCCGCGGCGGGCUUCCUAAGCGCGCUGCCUUCCGCAGCCGCUUGUCAUGCAUUUGUGCCGCACUUAGCGGACCGCCGCGGCGGCUUUAUGAUGUAGCUGUAGUCCGUCCACACGUCCGAAGGCUCCGGGUCCGUCCACGCGUCUUGACUUCAACUUUCGUUUGCUUGCGGAUUUCUUGACGCCAUCCUGUAUGCCUGUCUUGCUCAUUGUUCUUUACGCCUUCGCACGUAGGGUAGCUGUUAUGUUGGUAAGUAUCCUGCACCGGGCUAUCUGGCGACUCGCGAGGAUACCAGGGUAAAUCAGGCGAACUCAAGACAAAGGGCGCCGAUCAAGCCCCUCGCAACCUCUUGCCAACCAAGAGCUACUCCCGGCAAAACGGACUCCCAGCUAAAGCCUCGCCAACUGCGGGAGGCCGAGAUAAAACCACCUUUCCUACUGACCUACGGACCUCGCGAACCCAACUAGAAUUCCCCCGCCCACCGACAAGCAACAGAACCCACUAUUCAGGUGCCUCUACUCACGGCCGAACCAACCCAACCACCCGCGCAGUGCCCGCGCGCUUCACUUACUUGCAUGGAUGCCGUUGGCCCGCAAUGUCGAUCUGCGCGUCGCCGUUGUUGUUGUCUUCUCAUAUAUAAGAGACGGCGUUCUAUUGUAGGCAAAACCAAAGAUAUAGGCAAUCUAACAUCACUCGUCAAGCGAUUUCGACCUCGACUUUUUCUAGUCUUUCUCGUCGUCUAUUUUCUGUAAUCCGUCUUAAUAAAGCUUAGUUGGUACCUGUUGUCUGACUCUGCAUUCUGUGCUGGAAUGGCCAAAACUCGGACUGUCUCGUCCUGGUGUGAUAUCCGUGGUUGGCAUAGGGCCCUCCGUACUUCUGUAUUUG
rnacentral:lncRNA from 1 species